UACGAAGGGGGCUAGCGUUGCUCGGAUUCAUUGGGCGUAAAGGGUGCGUAGGCGGCGCGGUAAGUCGGGUGUGAAAUCUCGGAGCUUAACUCCGAAACUGCAUUCGAUACUACCGUGCUUGAGUACUGGAGAGGAGAUUGGAAUUUACGGUGUAGCAGUGAAAUGCGUAGAUAUCGUAAGGAAGACCAGUGGCGAAGGCGAAUCUCUGGACAGUUACUGACACUGAGGCACGAAGGCCAGGGGAGCAAACGGG
rnacentral:rRNA from 1 species